rnacentral:rRNA from 1 species
GUCCACGCCCUAAACGAUGUCAACUGGUUGUCGGGGAAGCAAUUCCUUGGUAACGAAGCUAACGCGUGAAGUUGACCGCCUGGGGAGUACGGCCGCAAGGUUAAAACUCAAAGGAAUUGACGGGGACCCGCACAAGCGGUGGAUUAUGUGGAUUAAUUCGAUGCAACGCGAAAAACCUUACCUACCCUUGACAUGUACGGAAGCCUGCAGAAAUGCGGGUGUGCCCGAAAGGGAGCCGUAACACAGGUGCUGCAUGGCUGUCGU